rnacentral:misc_RNA from 1 species
UCAAGCCUGGCUUGCUGUUGGGCUUCUUGGUCGUGGAUCUCCCCCGACCGGCCCCAAAGAUAAUGACGGCGUCCGUCGGACCCUCGGUACAAGGAGCUUUUUACGAGGCACGUACCGCAGUGGGCUGGCAGACCCGGUCUUUUUAAUUAGUUUUUUCUAAGGUUGACCUCGGAUCAGGUAGGAAUACCCGCUGAACUUAA